UCUCUGGUAGUAUACCGGUUAAUACACGCGUCUGUCAUUCGACAUGCAUGAAUAGACGUGCGAAAGCUGGGUUCAACUUCCAGCCAGAGAA